CAGCCGCCGCGGUAAUACAGAGGGUGCGAGCGUUAAUCGGAUUUACUGGGCGUAAAGCGUGCGUAGGCGGCUUUUUAAGUCGGAUGUGAAAUCCCUGAGCUUAACUUAGGAAUUGCAUUCGAUACUGGGAAGCUAGAGUAUGGGAGAGGAUGGUAGAAUUCCAGGUGUAGCGGUGAAAUGCGUAGAGAUCUGGAGGAAUACCGAUGGCGAAGGCAGCCAUCUGGCCUAAUACUGACGCUGAGGUACGAAAGCAUGGGGAGCAAACAGGAUUAGAGACCCCCGUAGUCCCUGUCUCUUAUAC
rnacentral:rRNA from 1 species